UGGGGAAUUGUUCGCAAUGGGCGCAAGCCUGACGACGCAACGCCGCGUGGAGGAUGAAGACCUUCGGGUCGUAAACUCCUUUCGAUCGAGACGAACGGCCUUCGGGUCAAUAACCUGAGGGAGUGACGGUACCGAGAAAAGAAGCCCCGGCUAACUCCGUGCCAGCAGCCGCGGUAAUACGGGGGGGGCAAGCGUUGUUCGGAAUUACUGGGCGUAAAGGGCUCGUAGGUGGCCAACUAAGUCAGACGUGAAAUCCCCAGGCUUAACCUGGGAACUGCGUCUGAUACUGGCUGGCUUGAAUUCGGGAGAGGGAUGCAGAAUUCCAGGUGUAGCGGUGAAAUGCGUAGAUAUCUGGAGGAAUACCGGUGGCGAAGGCGGCAUCCUGGACCGAGAUUGACACUGAGGAGCGAAAGCUAGGGGAGCAAA
rnacentral:rRNA from 1 species